rnacentral:rRNA from 1 species
CCAAUAGCGUAUAUUAAAGUUGUUGCAGUUAAAAAGCUCGUAGUUGAAUUUCGGGGUCAGUAGGUUGGUCAUGCCACUGGUAUGUACUGGCCUCACUGAUUCCUCCUUCCUGAUGAGCCGUAAUGCCAUUAAUUUGGUGUUGCGAGGAAUCUGGACUGUUACUUUGAAAAAAUUAGAGUGUUUAAAGCAGGCUAACGCUUGAAUACAUUAGCAUGGAAUAAUGAAAUAGGACGUUCGAUCUUAUUUUGUUGGUUUCUAAGAUUGACGUAAUGAUUAAUAGGGAUAGUUGGGGGCAUUAGUAUUCAAUUGUCAGAAGUGAAAUUCUUGGAUUUAUUGAAAACUAACUACUACGAAAGCAUUUUCCAAGGAUGUUUUCAUUAAUCAAGAACGAAAGUUAGGGGAUCGAAGACGAUGAGAUACCGUCGUAGUCUUAACCAUAAACUAUGCCGACUAGGGGUCGGAUGAUGUUAAUCUUUUAAUGACUCAUUCGGCGCCUUACG